rnacentral:rRNA from 1 species
GGUUGAUCCUGCCAGUAUUAUAUGCUGAUAUUAAAGAUUAAGCCAUGCAUGUCUAAGUAUAAGUUUUAUACAGCGAAACUGCGGAAGGCUCAUUACAACAGUUAUAGUUUUGAUGGUUAGUAAAAAGAAGGAUAACUCUUGUUAAUUGCAGAGCUAAUACUUGAUUUUACUGUUAUCUAUAUGAUUACAGCGUAAUAAAGCAAUUUAUUACAUAGGAAUAGCUUUUUGAGAAGAAGGUUAAAUUGAGAAUUGAUGAAACUUAAUGUUUUUACAAGUAACUGUUUUAAAUAU